rnacentral:rRNA from 1 species
UACAGAGGUCCCGAGCGUUGUUCGGAUUCACUGGGCGGAAAGGGUGCGUAGGUGGCUUGGAAAGUUUGAUGUGAAAGCUCAGGGCUUAACCCUGAAAUGGCAUUGAAUACUGUCGAGCUGGAGGUUUGGAGGGGGGACUGGAAUUCUUGGUGUAGCAGUGAAAUGCGUAGAUAUCAAGAGGAACACCAGUGGCGAAGGCGAGUCCCUGGACAACACCUGACACUGAGGCACGAAAGCUAGGGGAGCAAACAGG